rnacentral:rRNA from 1 species
GACGAACGCUGGCGGCGUGCUUAACACAUGCAAGUCGAACGGAAAGGCCCUGCUUUUGUGGGGUGCUCGAGUGGCGAACGGGUGAGUAACACGUGAGUAACCUGCCCUUGACUUUGGGAUAACUUCAGGAAACUGGGGCUAAUACCGGAUAGGAGCUCCUGCUGCAUGGUGGGGGUUGGAAAGUUUCGGCGGUUGGGGAUGGACUCGCGGCUUAUCAGCUAGUUGGUGGGGUAGUGGCUUACCAAGGCUUUGACGGGUAGCCGGCCUGAGAGGGUGACCGGCCACAUUGGGACUGAGGUACGGAGCAGAGUCCUACGGGAGGCAACAGUGGGGAAUAUUGCACAGUGGGCGGAAGCGUGAUGAAGCAACGCCGCGUGCGGGAUGACGGCCUUCGGGUUGUAAACCGCUUUCGCCUGUGACGAAGCGUGAGUGACGGUAAUGGGUAAAGAAGCACCGGCUAACUACGUG